AACACCAAAAUGCAUAAUAAGUCCUUUGUUUACCUUUGUUUGCCUUCUUUAUUAAUGAUAUAACUUGGAGAAAUUUUGAAGACAUGAUAGAAGAAGGCCGAGAGAAUUUUUUGAUGAUGUAGAUUGUGAAGUGAAUAUUAGUCGGAUAAGAAAUAACGUGCUAUGAUAUCAAGAAUAUCAUACGGAUUUUCUCCCACUCUGACCUGUCGUUACGUGUUUCAUCGCGAUUGGCAUGUUUUGGAAGGAUUGUCAAAAAGAUCGGUUCAGGUUCUAUGUGAUUUAGAAGUGAUCUUGAAGGAACAAAGUGAAACGAGUCAAAAAGAAGUUAAAAAGAAGAAAAUCUGGAAAGGGGCCUCAGUUGUAGCAAAUGCGACAUAUACCUGGGAAUUGCGAAGUUAUCAAUGAUGGAAAUCGCGAGAAGUUUCUCGCAAUUGAGAAGAAAGGGCAAUCAGGCAGUCUUCGCAAAUGCGAAGAAUACCUCGCAAAUGUGAAAGUCAACUAAGUAGUCAACCUUCGCAAAUGCGAAGUUCUUAUCACAAAUGUGAAGUCAAAUAGUAUAACCAUAGUUCGCAAUUGCGAACUUAUGUUCGCAAAUGCGAAAAUCGAGCAUCAGACCUGGACAAUUUUGGAAUUUCACAUUUUUUGGCCUCAAACCCUUUAAUACCCAAACCAGUUCAUUUGUAAAAUAUCUUUGGCAUAUUUUCAGUUCUAAAGACUAGAGAGAACAAGGUUGGAAGCUAGGGUUUUGCACACACACUUUGAUCUUGAAGAUUUGUAGCUUGUGGUUGAGAAUUUCUUACCCAUUUAUGUUUAUUUCUUAAUUUCCUUA